AAUGGGGGAAACCCUGAUGGUGCGACGCCGCGUGGGGGAUAAGGUCUUCGGAUUGUAAACCCCUGUCAUGUGGGACAUUAAAAAGAUAGUACCACAAGAGGAAGAGACGGCUAACUCUGUGCCAGCAGCCGCGGUAAUACAGAGGUCUCAAGCGUUGUUCGGAAUCACUGGGCGUAAAGCGUGCGUAGGCUGUUUCGUAAGUCGUGUGUGAAAGGCGCGGGCUCAACCCGCGGACGGCACAUGAUACUGCGAGACUAGAGUAAUGGAGGGGGAACCGGAAUUCUCGGUGUAGCAGUGAAAUGCGUAGAUAUCGAGAGG
rnacentral:rRNA from 1 species